CUAAAACUCUAACCAGUGGAAAAGGUACUUGUGUGGAUCCUCUGAACCCUGAGUGGAACUUCCUGAAAGAUUUAUUUGGAGAAAAAUCUUGGAAGCAGCAGAAGGACAAACAGAAUGGCUGGCUGGGCAAAGCCUCGUGGCCCGGUCUCCACAACUGGAGGGCAGUUACAUCUUAGAGGCCUGAUCUUUGGACCAGAAAGGAAUGAAAAAGUUGCCCCUUACGAUGGCUGUGCCUUGUCAGUUGCUUGAAGCUGCGUUCAGGGAUUUCCUGAGCCUUAUGGAUUUACAGUGACAUUCAGCUGCCCGAGAAUGACGGCGGAGGAAGCAUGGUCUGGAAUCACACGCACCGGGCACACGUUUGGAUGUUAACGGCAGUUUUCAGGAAGACCAUGGCUGAGUGCCUGGCAGAUCCCUGCACCUGGACACCUGUGGGGGACAGAGGACCGCGGCUUCCUGUGAUGCCUGGGAUCUCUGCCCUGUGUCUGCAUGGGCGUUGGCUUGGGUCGCGGCCAGCCUCACUGAGGAUGCCUGUGAAACAAUCCCAUCAUACCUUGGAUUUUGGUGCUAUCAGUCUGAAAAGCAGACGUACCUGUCUGGUACUCUAGAGGGAAUGUCCUUUCCUGAAUGAAAAAGCUGGGCCAUUUGGGGAUUUGGAGAAUAAAGGUAAGAGAUUUCUCCUCUUGAACA
rnacentral:lncRNA from 1 species